CAGUCGCCGCGGGAAUACGAAGGGUGCAAGCGUUACUCGGAAUUACUGGGCGUAAAGCGUGCGUAGGUGGUGGUUUAAGUCCGUUGUGAAAGCCCUGGGCUCAACCUGGGAAUUGCAGUGGAUACUGGGUCACUAGAGUGUGGUAGAGGAUAGUGGAAUUUCCGGUGUAGCAGUGAAAUGCGUAGAGAUCGGAAGUAACAUCUGUGGCGAAGGCGACUAUCUGGGCCAACACUGACACUGAGGCACGAAAGCGUGGGGAGCAAACAGGAUUAGAUACCCCUGUAGUCCCUGUCUCUUAUAC
rnacentral:rRNA from 1 species